CAAUAGCGUAUAUUAAAGUUGUUGCGGUAAAAGCUCGUAGUUGGAUUUCUACCGAAGAUAGCCGGUCGGGUCUUCGACCUUGUAUCUGGUUUUGUCUUUGGUAUCCUCAUAGGGAACGUUUCUGCGCUUUAUUGCGUGGUGCGGUAUCUAUGACUUUUACUUUGAGGAAAUUAGAGUGUUCACGGCAGGCAAACGCCUUGAAUAUAUUAGCAUGGAAUAAUAACAUAGGAUCUUCGUCCUAUUUUGUUGGUUUCUAGGGCUAAGAUAAUGAUUAAUAGGGAUAAUUGGGGGCAUCUGUAUCAACGCGUCAGAGGUGGAAUUCUUGGAUUGCGUUGCGACAAACUACUGCGAAAGCAUUUGCCAAGGAUGUUUUCAUUGA
rnacentral:rRNA from 1 species